rnacentral:pre_miRNA from 13 species
CGUUUGAUGACCAGGCCCCUCACUUAGUGUAUUUGACAAGCUGUUCUUGACACUCUUUAUACGCGAGUGUCAGUUUGUCAAAUACCCCAAGUGAGGUGUCACUUGUCUGC